ACAUGGCUCAGGAUGAACGCUGGCGGCGUGCCUAACACAUGCAAGUCGAGCGAGAAAUACUUGAUUGAAACUUCGGUAGAUAGAUGGUAUGGAAAGCGGCGGACGGGUGAGUAACGCGUAGGCAACCUGCCCCUUACACAGGGAUAGCCAUUGGAAACGAUGAUUAAAACCUGAUGACACCAAGAGAUGACAUCUUCUCCUGGUCAAAGAUUUAUCGGUAAGGGAUGGGCCUGCGUCUGAUUAGAUAGUUGGUGAGGUAACGGCCCACCAAGUCAACGAUCAGUAGCCGACCUGAGAGGGUGAUCGGCCACAUUGGAACUGAGACACGGUCCAAACUCCUACGGGAGGCAGCAGUGGGGAAUAUUGCACAAUGGGGGAAACCCUGAUGCAGCAACGCCGCGUGAAGGAUGAAGGUCUUCGGAUCGUAAACUUCUGUCCUAGAGGAAGAUAAUGACGGUACUCUUGGAGGAAGCCCCGGCUAACUACGUGCCAGCAGCCGCGGUAAUACGUAGGGGGCAAGCGUUAUCCGGAAUUAUUGGGCGUAAAGAGUGCGUAGGUGGUUACCUAAGCAGGGGGUGAAAGGCACUGGCUUAACCAAUGUCAGCCCCCUGAACUGGGCUACUUGAGUGCAGGAGAGGAAAGUGGAAUUCCUAGUGUAGCGGUGAAAUGCGUAGAUAUUAGGAGGAACACCAGUGGCGAAGG
rnacentral:rRNA from 1 species